rnacentral:rRNA from 1 species
UGAGGAAUAUUCGGCAAUGGGGGCAACCCUGACCGAGCAACGCCGCGUGGAGGAUGACGGUUUUUGGAUUGUAAACUCCUUUUCUCAGGGAAGAGUGAGGACGGUACCUGAGGAAUAAGUCACGGCUAACUACGUGCCAGCAGCCGCGGUAAUACGUAGGUGGCAAGCGUUAUCCGGAAUUACUGGGCGUAAAGCGCACGCAGGUGGUUUGCUAAGAUUGACGUGAAAGCGCCUGGCUUAACUGGGCGAGGUCGUUGAUGACUGGCAGACUUGAGGCGAGGAGAGGGGUGUAGAAUUCCCGGUGUAGUGGUGGAAUGCGUAGAUAUCGGGAGGAAUACCAGUGGCGAAAGCGGCACCCUGGCCUUGGCCUGACGCUCAGGUGCGAAAGCGUGGGGAGCGAACGGGAUUAGAUACCCCGGUAGUCCACGCUGUAAACGAUGAACACUAGGUGUAGGUGGUGUCAAAACCAUCGGUACCGAAGCCAACGCGAUAAGUGUUCCGCCUGGGGAGUACGACCGCAAGGUUAA